GGGCGGAAGUGAGGGAAGCUCGGCCCUCCCGGAGCGUUUCCGCCCUCCGCGGUGCGGUGGGCGCGUCCGGGUGGGGCGGCGGAGGGAGGAGGCGAAAGGGGUGCAGGGGAGAGCCUCGCAUUCCUGGGCUCCCCGUGGCUGAGCGCCACGUGGGGGACCUCUGUGGGACAGCGGUGCCGUUAUUAAACCCCCUUCCAAGAUGGCAGAAUAAACGAGAAGAGGUUUUCCUAACGGCCAUUCCCCAUAAGCACAAGCAGGAGGUGCCGUUCCUGGGUGGAGUUUGGUUGGGGAAAGGCCCCAUUGCUGCGCAGUGCAGUCACAGACAGUUCAGGCAUUCCCAGCCCCAACUGCGGCUGCGGGAAUGGGGGGUCUGUUGGGAUAUGGGGUGUAAAGGGCCGCCGGCUCAGCUCGUCUGCUGAGGCCUUUGGAGGGGCUCACAACGCGAGGCCAGAAAUGGGGCUGGGGGAGAAGGGGACAAAAGGCAGCCCAGCAAGGAAAGGCAGCGGCUGCGCAGGCCCAGGCACUGCGGGGUUCAGUCCCGGCCUUCCAGCUGAACUGAGCGUCCGUGGUGGGUUCUGUCGGGGUCCGUAGCAGUGCCAGAAUCCCAUCCAGGCCCCAUUUGGGCUGCGGUUUCCGACUCAUCACGGGGCAAAAGAAAGGUACGGUGUGAUUGAAAGGAGUUAUCGGCUGCAUAUGGUGCAUUCCGGGCAGCGGAGCCGAUAACCCAAACAGCUGAGGUUCCAAUGGAGAGCAUUUUGCCAACGGAGGGGUGGGUGAAGGAUCUGAGCCGUCUCCCUCAUACAGGGGGGGCCCAAACACGGACAGAGGGGCUGCCUAUGGGCCGGAGGAGCAGGCGGUGUUCAGCCAUCAGCACUGGAAGAGCUGCAGGAGAUCCCAGGCCCGGAGACGCAGAGGAUUCUCCCCAUCGUGUGAGGGGGGGGUCCGAAGGAGGACACAGCGCUGCCCCCUCCCCUGGAGAUGAGGCGACACCGCCCUCCCCAUCAGCACAGGCAGCAGUGAGGUGACACAUCAGCCCCCAAUGCACGGGAGACCCCUGGGAGCAUUUUUUGGGGAGGGGGGGGGGGCCACCCCAAGCCUCUCUCCCCCACGCACCCCAUAAGCGCCAUCCCGGUCCCCCACCUCCCAAAAAGAAGAGCAAGAAAACCUCAAAACCAACCCCACCCCCCC